rnacentral:RNase_P_RNA from 1 species
AGCGGGACGGAUCGUCGCUGCGGGCCGCAAGGCCCGGGGAGGAAAGUCCGGGCUCCACAGGGCAGGACGCUGGAUAACGUCCAGGAGGGGCGACCCUCGGACAGCGCCACAGAAAGCAAACCGCCGCGCAAGCGGUAAGGGUGAAACGGUGGAGUAAGAGACCACCAGAUGCCGCAGCGAUGCGGCAUGCUCGGCAUACCCCGUUCGGAGCAAGACCAAAUAGGGAAGGGGCCGGCCCGGCCAUACCUUCCGGGUAGGUUGCUUGAGGGCGCGGGCAACCGCGCUUCUAGAGGAAUGACGAUCGACGCGCUCAGCGCGUUACAAAACCCGGCUUACAGGCCCGCUCU